rnacentral:rRNA from 1 species
UGGGGAAUUUUGCGCAAUGGACGAAAGUCUGACGCAGCAACGCCGCGUGGGUGAUGAAGGUCUUCGGAUCGUAAAACCCUGUCGUCAGGGACGAAGGUUGCAUAUCUAAUAGGUGUGCAAUUUGACGGUACCUGGAGAGGAAGCCCCGGCUAACUCUGUGCCAGCAGCCGCGGUAAUACAGAGGGGGCAAGCGUUAUUCGGAAUUAUUGGGCGUAAAGGGCGCGUAGGCGGUGAUUUAAGUGAGAUGUGUAAUCCCCGAGCUUAACUUGGGAACUGCAUCUCAGACUGGGUCGCUAGAGUGCUGGAGAGGGUGGUGGAAUUCCACGUGUAGCGGUGAAAUGCGUAGAGAUGUGGAGGAACACCAGUGGCGAAGGCGGCCACCUGGACAGUAACUGACGCU